AAGAGAUUAGUUAAAAAAAAAAUAAUAAAAAUUUGUCAAGUUUUAGUAACUAAAAAAAUAGUAUUUCUUU
rnacentral:tRNA from 1 species